UUAUGUAAUAAAUAAGAAAUUUGAUGAAUGAUAAUAGAAAAUUCUAAAAUGUAGAAUUUUGUUUUUUGUGUGAUCUUGUGAUAGAAUGCAUGAAUAUUUGGAGGAUUCAAGUGAGACUUGAUCUAUCUUACUUGUGGAAUGCUUUGAAGAUCAAUGGUCGAUGGGAGUUUCUAACUUUGUCCGAUCCUUGGUUCCUUAGAUCACCUAAGUAAUAUGAAUUUAGCCUAUCUUAGAGGUUGAGAUCAAAUUGGUUUUGAGGCUAUUGGGGUCGAGUUCUUUGGGUCAUGUUGAACGUUCAACAUGGUUCUUGGAUUCGAUGCCUAGGGGUCUCAUAUCAUUUGGUAUCAAAGCUUUGGCUCUAGAUCAAUAUAUCUUUCCAUUGUUGCAAUAACUUUCUUAUUCUUCUGUCCAUUAGAUAAAAAAAAAAGUGUCAGUUCUAGUUUUCAUUUUACAUUUUUGUCUUCUUCAAAGUUUUAGAUCUGAGUGUCAUCUACAAAAUUGCUUUCUUCAAGAUCUUCCAAUUCGAUUUCCUUCAAUGUCAAAUGUUCUUGUUUGGAAAAUGUAAAAAAAAAAAAAAUGGUGUAAUCCGAGAGAUUUUUUUUGUUGAAUUUUGUUGUUCAUGGAUUCAAGUAUAAGAAGAUGACUACCAAAAGCUGCAUUCAAAAGAGAUUCUAUAGAUUAGAGGACGAAUAUUCUUGAAGAAAGGGAGAAUGAUAUGAAUCGAGAAAUCAUAUUUCCAUGAAAUGAACUUGAAGAUGAUAUGAAUCAAAAUCAUUAAGUUUCCAUGUAAAUUUAGUUGUUUUUAAUUAAUUUUCAGCAAUUUAGUGUUUAGUUUAAGUAUUGAAAUUAUGAAUAUUGUGUUUAAAGAUAGUUGUUGGAAAUUUAGAGUUUACUUUUAAUGAGGAUGCAUUGGAGAAGAAGACUAGUCAAAGAUGGUGGCUGCCAUUAAUAGAAUUGGAAUGAAUAUGGUAGAUGAAAAAUGGAGAAUGCAUGAAUAUUUGGAGCAUUCAAGUGAGGCUUGAUCUUCUAUCUUGUUUGUGGAGUGCUUUGAAGAUCAAGGGUUGAUGGGAGUUUCCAGCCGUUCGCGUCAAAUUUGAAGACCCCACGCCAUUCGCGAGUCUCUAGCUGCUUGAUCCGUCAGCGUCGCCUCGGUUUGCGUUGCUUUACCUGUUUCGUGCGCUUCAGGUCUGUACGGCGUCGAAGUCCUAGCCAUAAGUCUUCAGCCGCCCUACACCGCGCACUGGGCCGUCUACUAGUCGCCACUCGCUGCACUAGCACCAAACUUCAGCUCGACUUCGCCACACUAACGUCGUUCGAGCCAGCCUUCCGUCGCCGUCGUUUGGGUUUCGUUGGAUUCUUGAAUAAUUUGGAAUCAAAGAUUGAAGAUUUUGAGAUAUUGCUUUGAAGUUUAAGACCAAUUUCGGUGGAAAAUUUGUUAAGGUGUCGGUUCAAGGGUCUGCUUGGCAAGGAGGAGAUAAACUUGCUUGAACUAUUUUUGAUUUACUUUGAGGUAAGUAAUCUUUCUACUAGAACUGCCCUAGUGCCAGGCAAUGAUAAUUAUGAUUUAUUGAGAAUUAUUAGUUAGCAUGAUAUUUAUGUAUGCCUUCUUUGACUGAGGUUUGAAAGGACUAGAGUCAGGUAUUAAUAGUCAUGGUUACUGAGGAUAUAUUGAUGGUUUGAUGUUUAUGUAUGCCUUGCUGGCAUGAGGAUUUAAAAGACUAGAUGCGCAUAGAGAUGUUUGAAUGCUAGGAUGAUUGAGUAUAUUAUUAUUCUUGAAGAUCCUGCUGAAUCUGAGGAUGAUGAGAUGUAUAUGUAUGUUAUGGGACUAAAACGAUAAGAUGUAUAUGUACGUUGUAGAACCAUGAUGAUGAGAUGUGGUGUUUUCCUUCGGGAUACACUAGAGGUGGAGUUUUCCUUCGGGAUUCACUAGAGGUUGUGUACCCUUGGAGAUUCACUAGAGGUUGUGUUUCCUUCGGGAUUCACCAGAGGUAGUGCUUUCUUUCAGGAUCCACCAAAGGUUGUGUUUCCUUCGGGAUUCACUAGAGGUGAUGCUUUCCUUCGCAAUUCACCAGAGGUUGUGUUUCCUUCGGGAUUCACUAGAGGUGGUGUCUUCUUCGGGAUUCACCAGAGGUUUGUGGGUUCUUUGAGACUUAAUAGAGGUAGUGGGUAUACUUAACUAUAAUAGGAUGAAAUUUAGUUAUUCAUGUAUGUACGUAUCCCAUGAGGAUUAGAGAAGUUUAUAUGUUCCACCAGAGGUAGGCAUUUAGAGGACAUAGAUGCCUAGCCUGACUCCAGUAGUGGGGUUAGUUACUGAGUAUUUUAUACUAAUCAUUUUUCAUGUUGUUGUUUCAAGUAAAGGUAGAGAUGCACCAGCGAUUGACAAGCGAAAUUCGUGAUCGAGCCAUUGGGACCAAUUCUAUACUUCCACUCAUGAUAUUUAGAUUUCUUUUCAUGUUGUCAACUUUCAGUUUUGAUGUUUAAAACUUACUAUUAAGAUUUGUUUUCAGACCUAUUUAUUAUCAUUUAUGAUUUAUGAGUACCCAUCAUUUAUUUUUAAUAUUUGAAUUUAAUGAAUGUCUUUUGAAUUUACCUUAUUUAUUUAGCAUUUAUUUCACUAUAAAAGGGUGUCGUUUUAAGUUACAUGCAUGCAUGUGUUUAGUAAUGGCCCGACUUGAGUCCUAGAGGGUCGGGUCGUUACAAAACUGCUAGAAAAUUUUAGACUCAGGACUAUUUUAAAAUUUUCUUUUUUUUCUGACUUUUAUGCAUAUUGCAAGUCUUGUGAAAAGUGUCAAAAAUUUGGAUCCUUGUUAAAAAGAAACUAAACGCCACUUAAUUCCAUUCUUGUAUGUAAGAUUUUUGACAUUUGGGGCUUAGAUUUUAUGGGCCCAUUCUCUUCUUCAUUUGGCUAUCUAUAUAUUUUGCUUGCGGUAGAUUACGUUUCCAAGUGGGUUGAGGUAAUCCUCACUAAAACAAAUGAUCAUUCUGUUGUUUCAAAAUUUCUAAAAAAUCACAUCUUUUAUAGAUUUGGAAUUCCUAGAGUCAUUAUAAGUGACCAAGGAACACAUUUUUACAAUAGGACCAUAGAGUCAUUAUUAAGAAAAUACGAAGUUCACCACCAUGUUGCAACUCCUGUAUCAUCCUCAAACAAAUGACCAAGCGAAAAUUUCCAAUAGAGAAGUGAUGAAAUGCGUUCUAGAAAAACGAUCAACUUGAAAAGAAAAGAUUGGAGUACCCGUCUUAAUGAUGCACUUUGGGCUUAUAGAACCACUUUUAUGACACCUAUAAGAACAACCCAUACAUAAUUGUAUAUGGAAAAGUGUGCCAUCUUCCCGUAGAGGUUGAACAUAAGAUAUAUUGGGAGGUAAAACAAUAUAAUUUGAAUCUAGCUCAAGUUGGAGAGGAAAGAUUUCCAGAAUUGCAACAAUUAGAAGAAUUGAGAUGUAAUGCUUAUGAAAACUCAAAGAUUUAUGAAGAGAAGACCAAAUUUAUUCAUGAUAAAGGUUUGAUAAGAAAGGACUUCAAAAUAGGACAAAAAGUAUUGCUUUACAAUUCCAAAUUACAAUUGAUGCUUGAAAAACUUAAGUCCAAAUAGUUAGGUCCUUUUGAAAUUACUAAUGUUUUCUCUUAUAUGGUGCAGUUGAAAUCAAAAGUCUUGAAACAGGAAAGACUUUCAAGAUGAAUGGACACAGGCUUAAGGUCUUCAACGAAGGGCAUGUAAACCAAGUCCAAUUGGACUUACUUUUGACUAAUCCUUCGUAUAUUUGAUAUCCAUCUUCACCAACGUUGAGCAAACGACGCUAAAAAUUUGUAAAACAGGACAAAAUUUUCUUCUUUCUUCUUUUGUCUUUUUCGAUUCUGUACUCUCUUUCUUAUUUUGAUUCUUCUUUUCCUUUAUAGCUAAACUCAAAAAAAUAAGAAAAAGGAAAACAAAACAAAAGCAAGGAAUUCUCUCUCAAGUAAAUAACAAGCAACUACGAAAAUCAGAGAAGUUUCUCUCUACAUCC